UACGUAGGGUGCAAGCGUUAAUCGGAAUUACUGGGCGUAACGCGUGCGCAGGCGGUUUUGUAAGUCUGACGUGAAAUCCCCGGGCUCAACCUGGGAAUUGCGGUGGAGACUGCAAGGCUGGAGUCUGGCAGAGGGGGGUAGAAUUCCACGUGUAGCAGUGAAAUGCGUAGAGAUGUGGAGGAACACCGAUGGCGAAGGCAGCCCCCUGGGUUAACACUGACGCUCAGGCACGAAAGCGUGGGGAGCAAACAGG
rnacentral:rRNA from 1 species